GAUGAACGCUGGCGGCGUGCCUAAUACAUGCCAGUCGAGCGGACGGACGAGAAGCUUGCUUUUCUGAUGUUAGCGGCGGACGGGUGAGUAACACGUGGAUAACCUACCUAUAAGACUGGGAUAACUUCGGGAAACCGGAGCUAAUACCGGAUAAUAUUUUGAACCGCAUGGUUCAAAAGUGAAAGACGGUCUUGCUGUCACUUAUAGAUGGAUCCGCGCUGCAUUAGCUAGUUGGUAAGGUAACGGCUUACCAAGGCAACGAUGCAUAGCCGACCUGAGAGGGUGAUCGGCCACACUGGAACUGAGACACGGUCCAGACUCCUACGGGAGGCAGCAGUAGGGAAUCUUCCGCAAUGGGCGAAAGCCUGACGGAGCAACGCCGCGUGAGUGAUGAAGGUCUUCGGAUCGUAAAACUCUGUUAUUAGGGAAGAACAUAUGUGUAAGUAACUGUGCACAUCUUGACGGUACCUAAUCAGAAAGCCACGGCUAACUACGUG
rnacentral:rRNA from 1 species